GAUGAACGCUGGCGGCGUGCCUAAUACAUGCAAGUCGAGCGAACAGACGAGGAGCUUGCUCCUCUGACGUUAGCGGCGGACGGGUGAGUAACGCGUGGAUAACCUACCUAUAAGACUGGGAUAACUUCGGGAAACCGGAGCUAAUACCGGAUAAUAUAUUGAACCGCAUGGUUCAAUAGUGAAAGACGGUUUUGCUGUCACUUAUAGAUGGAUCCGCGCCGCAUUAGCUAGUUGGUAAGGUAACGGCUUACCAAGGCAACGAUGCGUAGCCGACCUGAGAGGGUGAUCGGCCACACUGGAACUGAGACACGGUCCAGACUCCUACGGGAGGCAGCAGUAGGGAAUCUUCCGCAAUGGGCGAAAGCUUGACGGAGCAACGCCGCGUGAGUGAUGAAGGUCUUCGGAUCGUAAAACUCUGUUAUUAGGGAAGAACAAAUGUGUAAGUAACUAUGCACGUCUUGACGGUACCUAAUCAGAAAGCCACGGCUAACUACGU
rnacentral:rRNA from 1 species